rnacentral:rRNA from 1 species
CACGUAGGGGGCAAGCGUUGUCCGGAUUUAUUGGGCGUAAAGAGCUCGUAGGUGGCUUAGUAAGUCGGGUGUGAAACCUCCAGGCUCAACCUGGAGACGCCACCCGAUACUGCUAUAGCUUGAGUCCGGUAGGGGAGCGUGGAAUUCCUGGUGUAGCGGUGAAAUGCGCAGAUAUCAGGAGGAACACCAGCGGCGAAGGCGGCGCUCUGGGCCGGUACUGACACUGAGGAGCGAAAGCGUGGGGAGCAGACAGG